rnacentral:ncRNA from 2 species
UAAUAGGAGAUUCUUCAAGCCGGUAGAUCUAAAGCUCAUGUCAUGGUUUAUUGGCCGUUAGGGUAUAUAGGGAAACUUGUAUAUCUGCCAGUGCGCAAUGAAGAACACCGCUAACAAG